rnacentral:lncRNA from 10 species
CAGAAAGGCGCGUCGCCAUCUCCUGGCCGGCACUAUUACUGCACGUCCAUUUUCUAGAAAAUUCCUGGCAUCUGGGUUCUAUGUAAACGUAAGAACUUUUCCUUUACUGUGAGUUAGCAAUCCGGAUGUGUUUUGUGGAAGAUUAUGCCCUAAGCCCUUAGAAGGGAGGACACUGAGUUUGGGAAAAGUCACUACCUCUGGGCUUCAUUUUUUGCCCUAAGGCAAUGAGGUUAUCCUGAUGCUGAGGAAUCUAUGGCAAAUUUUCCUUUCUCCCUCAAACUAUCCUGUCAACCUUUUCAUAUUAGAAGGCAGAGAAUGGAAAAUACACAUACACAUUCUCCUUUAAAAAAAAAAAAUACAAGGAGCCUUGAGAAAUGGACAUGAUCCGUGUAUUUCUUGACCUCUGAGAUACCAUGGCUAAUCCCAACCAACCUGCAGAAAUACUGCUUCUGGAAGUUCCAUUUGCCUCCAUUCUGAGUGCUUAUUAACCCUGAAACUUUUGUCAGCUCAGGAAAAAGCAAAAGGUUCUAAACUAACUGGCUGCGCAGUGGAACACCCUUGUUCACCUCCUCACUGGGCUCCUGGGCCUCCAACUCCUGCCCUUCAGGUUCUAGACAGGCAAUCAAAGCAAAAAUGGACAAAUGGGAUCCCAUCAAGUUAAAAGGCUUCUGCACAGCAAAAGAAACCAUCAACAAAGUGAAGAGACAACCCGCAGAGUGGGAGAAAAUAUUUGCAAACUACCCAUCUGACAAGGGAUUAAUAACCAAAAUAUAUCAGGAGCUCAAACAACUCUAUAGGAAAAAAAUCUAAUAAUCUGAUCAAAUAAUGGGCAAAAGAUUUGAAUAGCCAUUUCUCAAAAGAAGACAUGCAAAUGGCAGACAGGCACAUGAUUGAUCAUCAGAGAAAUGCAAAUGAAAACUACAAUGAGAUACCAUCUUACCCCAGUCCAAAUGGCUUAUAUCAAAAAGACAGGCAACAAUAAAUGCUGAUGAGGAUGUGGAACCCUCAUGCACUGUUGGUGGGAAUGUAAAUUAGUACAAGCACUCUGGAGAAGAGUUUGGAGGUUCCUCAAACAACUGAAAAUAGAGCUACCAUAUGGUCCAGCAAUCCCACUGCUG